UCUGCGGAAACAAGGCCCGUACGAGAAGAUUUUAAACGUAUGUGCGAGCGACGCCUUCACUAACUAGCCCGGUCCAACACCUUUGCUUCGGCUGGACCAGUUUUGGACAUCGUGCGUUUUUUUUUAAUCGCAGAUUGACUUCACCAUUUUCACGGGCCUGGCGCUUAUAGCGCUGUUUCUGCUGCUCAUCUUCGGAAUCGUAGCCCUUAUCUUCCCUUCGAGGACACGUCUCAUGAUUUACAGCUGUUGUGGGGCCGGCUUGUACUCCAUUUACAUCGUGAUCAAUACGCAACAGAUCGUUGGCGGCCGCAACAGGAAGUACACACUGUCACCGGAGGACUACAUCGCGGCGGUCCUCGGUCUGUACAUGGACGCCAUCAACCUGUUCUUGUUCAUCCUGCGGCUAUACCGUGGGAGCAGAAACUAGCGGCUGCACACGUGAUGCGGAAUCCCGGGCACGAACCCGCUUGCAGCGCCACCUACGUGACCUGUGCCGUUUCUGGAACACAGUCGUGACUGGAAGUAGUAAACCUAUGGUUGUUGUUGUAGCUGCCUAUAUAAAA